CUCUCUCUCUCUCUCUCUCUCUCUCUCCUUUUCCCUCUUUUCUCUCUCUAGCUUUUCUCUCUCUAAACUUUAUUUGCUAUUCUUCUUCUUAGCCCCACUUCUCUCUCUCUCUCUCCCACCUUUUUCUCUCUGUACCAGCUUUUCUCUGCCUCUGCCAGUCCGGGAAAAUUAGAAGAAAAAUAAAAAAGCUAGUUCUCUCCUAAUUCCGGUCAUUAGAUUGGAUCUGGGCUGCUUGUUUAUUGCGAUAUCUCCUCCAAUAUUGCGAUAUCUCCUCCAAUAGCAGGGCACUCUUGUUUCUGUAAUCAAGCCAAAGUGUUGGAAAUACAAAUAACUGAAGUGCAGAUACAAUAUGGCUGUUUCCAUGAGAGAUCUGGAUCCAGCUUUCCAAGGAGCUGGACAGAAGGCGGGACUUGAAAUAUGGCGGAUUGAAAACUUUCGUCCUGUUCCCAUCCCAAAGUCUUCUUAUGGCAAAUUUUUCACGGGCGACUCCUAUGUUGUUUUGAAGACAACUUCCCUAAAAAGUGGUGCUUUACGCCAUGAUAUUCAUUAUUGGCUGGGUAAAGAUACCUCGCAGGAUGAAGCAGGUGCUGCUGCCAUCAAAACAGUUGAACUUGAUGCAGCGCUUGGAGGUCGUGCCGUACAGUACCGUGAAGUACAGGGCCAUGAAACAGAGAAGUUCCUAUCUUAUUUUAAACCGUGUAUUAUACCUCAAGAAGGUGGUGUUGCAUCUGGGUUCAAACAUGCUGAAGCUGAAGAACACCAGACCCGCUUGUUUGUCUGCAAAGGAAAACACGUUGUUCAUGUAAAAGAGGUUCCUUUUGCUCGAUCCUCACUAAGCCAUGAUGAUAUUUUUAUUCUUGAUACCAAGUCAAAAAUUUUUCAAUUUAAUGGUUCCAAUUCAUCUAUCCAAGAGAGAGCUAAAGCUUUAGAAGUAGUCCAGUACAUUAAGGAUACUUAUCAUGAUGGAAAGUGCGAGGUAGCUGCCAUUGAGGAUGGGAAAUUGAUGGCUGAUGCUGACACUGGGGAAUUCUGGGGUUUCUUUGGCGGUUUUGCUCCACUUCCUAGGAAAACAACAACUGAUGAGGAUAAGAUAGCUGAUUCUCCUACUAAGCUGUUUUGGGUUGAGAAGGGGCAGGCAGAACCUGUUGAUACAGAUUCUUUGACAAGGGAAUUACUAGACACAUACAAGUGCUAUAUUCUAGAUUGUGGAUUGGAAGUGUUUGUAUGGAUGGGGAGAAAUACCUCACUUGAUGAAAGAAAGGUUGCAAGUGGAGCUGCAGAGGAGUUAGUCCGUGGAGCUGAUCGACCAAAGUCCCACAUUAUUCGUGUAAUCGAGGGUUUCGAGACAGUGAUGUUUCGGUCAAAGUUUGAAUCAUGGCCAGAGACAACUGAUGUAGCUGUGUCUGAGGAUGGUAGAGGCAAAGUUGCAGCACUUCUAAGACGGCAGGGGGUAAAUGUCAAGGGCCUUUUGAAAGCUGCUCCUGCAAAGGAAGAACCUCAACCGUAUAUUGAUGUCACAGGAAAUCUGCAGGUUUGGCGUGUGGAUGGCAAGGACAAGGUUCUCCUUGACGCUUCAGAUCAUUCAAAAUUUUACGGUGGAGACUGCUAUAUUUUUCAAUAUUCAUAUCCAGGAGAAGACAAGGAGGAAUAUCUUAUAGGAACAUGGUUUGGGAAGAAGAGCGUUGAGGAGGAAAGAGCUUCUGCUAUUUCACUAGCAAGCAAGAUGGUUGAAUCAUUAAAGUUUCUGCCCUCCCAGGCUCGCAUCUAUGAAGGAAAUGAACCAAUUCAGUUCCUUACAAUCUUGCAGAGCUUUAUUGUUUUUAAGGGUGGUCUUAGCACUGGAUACAAGAAUUAUAUUGCGGAGACGGAACUCCCAGAUGAGACAUAUAAGGAGGACAGCGUUGCAUUAUUCCGGGUUCAGGGUUCUGGACCAGAUAAUAUGCAAUCAAUACAAGUUGAACCAGUUGCAUCGUCACUGAAUUCCUCUUACUGUUACAUAUUGCACAAUGACUCCUCUGUAUUUACAUGGUCUGGAAACCUUACAACUUCAGAUGACCAUGAACUUGUGGAAAGGCAGUUGGAUCUGAUAAAGCCAAAUGUACAGUCCAAGCCACAAAAGGAAGGUUCAGAAUCUGAGCAAUUUUGGGAUCUGUUAGGAGGAAAAACUGAAUAUCCCAGCCAAAAAAUUGGAAGGGAAGCUGAAAAGGAUCCUCGCCUUUUCUCUUGCACAUUCUCAAACGGAAAUCUGAAGGUGGCUGAGAUAUACAACUUUACCCAAGAUGAUUUGAUGACUGAAGACAUAUACAUCUUGAAUUGUCACUCCGAGAUCUUUGUCUGGGUAGGGCAAGAGGUUGACUCCAGGAGCAAAUUGCAUGCUUUAACUAUUGGAGAGAAAUUUCUUGAAAAUGAUUUUCUGUUGGAAAAGUUAUCUCGUGAAACUCCCAUAUACAUUGUUAUGGAAGGGAGUGAGCCACCUUUCUUCACACGUUUCUUUGAAUGGGACUCUGCAAAAUCUGCUAUGCAUGGAAACUCAUUCCAGAGAAAGCUUGCAAUUGUCAAAAAUGGGGGUACUCCUAUUGUAGAUAAACCCAAACGAAGAACACCUGUAUCCUAUGGAGGAAGGUCUAGUGUGCCAGAAAAAUCUCAACGUUCCAGAAGCAUGUCUUUCAGUCCUGAAAGAGUUCGUGUCAGGGGCAGGUCGCCGGCUUUCAGUGCCCUGGCUGCUAAUUUUGAGAACCCUAAUGCCAGGAACCUUUCAACCCCACCACCAGUUGUCAGAAAGCUUUAUCCAAGAUCUGUGACCCCAGAUUCAGCAAAACAGGCUUCCAAAUCUGCAGCUAUAACGGCGCUUAGUGCAUCUUUUGAACAACCGCCACCAGCAAGACAAGUUAUCAUGCCUCGGUCUGUCAAAGCGAGCCCUGAAAGACCGAAAUCAACUCCUGAAAAAUCAACACCUGAGUCAAACAAUAAGGAGAACUCUAUAAGCAGCAGAAUAGAAUCCCUCACCAUACAGGAGGAUGUGAAGGAAGGUGAAGUUGAGGAUGAGGAAGGCCUCCCAAUAUUUCCAUAUGAACGCCUUAAAAUUAGCUCAACAGAUCCUGUUACUGAAAUUGAUGUGACAAAGCGAGAGACUUACCUCUCAUCAGCAGAGUUCAGGGAGAAAUUUGGGAUGGCAAAGGAUGCCUUUUAUAAGAUGCCAAAAUGGAAACAGAACAAACUUAAAAUGGCCCUUCAAUUGUUCUGAGUCUCCUUCAUAUCUCUGCUUUUCCUUAAGCUUCCUGCAGCCUGAGCUGCAGGUGGAAGAAAGCUUAUUUGUGAAUCUUGAAGGGAGCUCAGUUUUUCAGAAGUGAAAGGGACAGCAUCAGUGCAUUUUUAGCUGCUUCUGGUCCCGGGAAGCUUGUUUUCUUGAUUGAUGGACAAGACCAGAGAUUUUUUCCCCAUUUUUCUGUUUUCCAUCUGUUGGUUUGAACUUCUAGCCUUAUAAAAAUUUCCCCCUCUUUUUGGUUGAGUUAGUUGUUUGGUAUUGUUUAUGGUCACAGGUUUGUUGUGAGCUUGCAUUUUUGUUUUUCAUUUUUCAAUUGAAAAUUUGUUCUGUAGUGAUUAGGUGAUUGUGAAUGCAGACAGUUUAGGAUGUAAUGUACAACUGAGGAUGGAAUUAUGUACAGCAGAGUGUAAAAAGGCAGUCCAUUCAUCAUUUCAUUUGUUUUUAAUAAAAGUGUGCUUAUAUAUA